AUGGCACUAAAGUUGAACUCUUCUCCGGGCUUCAUGACUGUGGUACUUCUCAUUCUCACAAGGACCCACGGAGACUCAGUGACUCAGACAGAAAGUCAAGUGGUCCUCUCAGAAGAUGAAUUUCUUACUAUACACUGCAACUAUUCAGCCUCAGGUUACCCAGCCCUGUUCUGGUAUGUGCAGUAUCCUGGAGAAGGUCCACAGCUCCUCUUUAGAGCCUCAAAAGCCAACGACAAGGGAAGCAGCAGAGGGUUUGAAGCCACAUAUGAUAAAGAAACCAAAUCCUUCCACUUGCAGAAAGCCUCAGUGCAAGAGUCAGACUCGGCUGUGUACUACUGUGCUCUGAGUGACACAGUGACAGAAACCACAGGGGGAGCUGAGCACAAACUCAGCACCUGA